rnacentral:rRNA from 1 species
GAUGAACGCUGGCGGCGUGCCUAAUACAUGCAAGUCGAGCGAACAGAUGAGGAGCUUGCUCCUCUGACGUUAGCGGCGGACGGGUGAGUAACACGUGGAUAACCUACCUAUAAGACUGGGAUAACUUCGGGAAACCGGAGCUAAUACCGGAUAAUAUAUUGAACCGCAUGGUUCAAUAGUGAAAGACGGUUUUGCUGUCACUUAUAGAUGGAUCCGCGCCGCAUUAGCUAGUUGGGAAGGUAACGGCUUACCAAGGCUACGAUGCGUAGCCGACCUGAGAGGGUGAUCGGCCGCCCUGGAACUGAGACACGGUCCAGACUCCUACGGGAGGCAGCAGUAGGGAAUCUUCCGCAAUGGGCGAAAGCCUGGCGGAGCAACGCCGCGUGAGUGAUGAAGGUCUUCGGAUCGUAAAACUCUGUUAUUAGGGAAGAACAAAUGUGUAAGUAACUAUGCACGUCUUGACGGUACCUAAUCAGAAAGCCACGGCUAACUACGUG